UUAUCAAACAAAUUGCCCAAACUCAUAAUUUUUCUCCCAAUUUAGUAGACAAAAUAAAAAAUAAAUUUCUAUUACGUAAUGCGUUCCAAAAUGUCUACAUACCACAUCAAACAAUAUUAAGUAAUCAGCCAGUAAAUAAGUUCAUUUCACUUACAUACAAUGGAGCAGUUUCUUAUAAAAUCCAACGAGUUCUAACUUCUUUAAAUGUUAAGGUUGCCUUUAAAUCGAGCAAUUCAUUAGGUAACUUAUUGAUUAAUAAUAAAGACAAAACGGAUCCGUUAUCUUGUAAAGGAAUUUAUAAGCUUUAUUGUGAGUGUGGUUAUUUUUAUGUAGGUAGAACGAAGCGUAGUUUUAAAGCUCGGUUUAGCGAACAUGACCGAUGCAUUAGACAAAACAAUCCUGAGUCUUUAUUUGCUAAGCAUAUUAUGGAGACCGGUCACCCAUCGAAUCUACUAGAUAAUUACAAGAUCUUACAUAGAGUUCAGGACAACAUAAAUCUAAAUAAUCUUGAAUUACUCGAGAUUAAAAGAUCUCUCAAAAAAGAAUAUGAUAAAUCUCUUAAUAUUCAGAUUAACAUUCCUGAAACUAAUUUAAUUAAUAUUUUAUUUGAAUAACUCUUCCCUCCCUUUCCGGUUAAUUUAUUUUAAUAUAAACCCCGUUGUUUUCUUAAUAUAAACUGGUAGAGACAUCUGUUUAACAGUUUUAAAAUAUUUUAAAGUUACUGUGGGUACCGCUAUCUAGUACCCAUUCGGUUAUAGGAUAUAAAAUAUAGAUUUCUUUGUAACGUUCUUUCUUAAUUAUGAAAACUAGAUAUAGAUGACUCUGUUGGUCAGAUUAGUUUGAAUGGCGGUUAUCAUAGUUUUUAGAUCGUUUUGUCUAUUGUGUUGUAACGGUGCUUUUUAGAUGUUAUUGUUUUAAACCUAAGUGUAUUAUUUGUUAUCUUACGAUAAGAUUUACUUGCUUAAUUUUAGCUGUACCGUUCUAUAUGUGCUUUUGUUUUGUUUUGACAAAUCUCGUUUUUAACAAUUCCUCGACCUGAUGAUGCGAUGAUAUUGUAAUCGCGAAACCGGUCGUCAUAAUAAAAGGAAUUUCUGGUGAAAUAAGACCUUUAAUUUCUACUGUGUUUGCUAGCAAAUACCUAUAAAUAUGGAUAUAUCUCUUAUGUUUUUUCUCCGUUAUUUUGUUUUUGUUAAUAUUACCGGUUUCUGUCUGUAAAUUCGUCUUUGUCAGACUCACUAUAAUUAAAGAAAAUAGAUAGUA